rnacentral:lncRNA from 1 species
GAGGUGUACUGGGAGGGGUUAUGGGGGGAUAUGGGGUAUAAUGGAGAGUAUGGGGUGUAGUGGGGGAGUUGGAGGUAUAAUGGAGAGUAUGGGGUGUACUGGGGGGGAUUUGGGGGGAUAUGGGGUAUAAUGGAUGGUAUGGGGUGUACUGGGAGGGGGUCUGGGGGGAUAUGGGGUAUAAUGGAGAGUAUGGGAUGUACUGAGGAGGGAUUAUAGGGUGUCCUGAGGAUACAGGUAGCAGCCACACAAAGCUUUGUGUCUUUGGGAUGCUUUGGAAUCAAUCCCAUAUGUGCAGCCCUGGGGGACCAGGAGGGUUUGGGUCGGGUCCAUCCGCACUGUGCCCCCCCAGGGGCUGAUCCUUGUUAAUCCCACACUGGCCCAGUGCCUGAGCUCAGCACCUUCCCACCGCCCCAUCCCCACUGAUUGGUGCUCGGUGCCUUCAUAAGGGGCACAACAGAACCUGGGCUCAUCCUGAGGCUGUGCUCACCACCUGAGCUCCGUGGGGACCAUGAAGCUCUAUGCAAUGCUGCUGCUGGCAGGGCUGGCCUGCUGCCUGGCUGUGGGCUUGCCCGUCAAUGAGACGCUGCAUGUGGGGCAUGAUCCGAAGGUGACUGUAAGAGCUGCUGAAGGAGCCCUGGUGGAUGUGGCCGACGUGGUGGAAAGCCUCCUGCGCUCCCUUGGGGACACCCUGGCUGGGGCUGUCAGGCUGCUGAUAGGGGGAAAGAAUAACAAGCAGCUGGCGUUGUGAGCACUGCCUUCCCCUAAUGGGGACAUAUGGGGACAUGGUGCUCUGUCUAUGGGCUCUGCUCCAUGCCCAGGUGCCACCAAUGCCACCAGCUCUCCCUGCAGCUCUUGAACACGGCUCCAAAUAAAGCCUUCAAUAAAGCAAAGUGCUGAUUGCUG